rnacentral:rRNA from 3 species
GGACUACUAGGGUAUCUAAUCCCGUUUGCUCCCCUGGCUUUCGCGUCUCAGCGUCAGAAAACGUCCAGGACCUCGCUUUCGCCACGGGCGUUCCAUCCGAUCUCAACGCAUUUCACCGCUCCACCGGAUGUUCCAGGUCCCCCUACGUCCCUCCAGGACGGUCGUAUCGGCGCCCGUUCCCCGGUUGAGCCGGGGGCUUUCAGCAACGGACGUGCCCUCCCGCCUACACGCGCUUUAAGCCCAGUGAUUCCGAAUAACGUUCGCACGGUUCGUCUUACCGCGGCUGCUGGCAC